CGGCGCCGUGCGAGCUGGGCGAAUGCUCGAUGGGCUUUUUUACACACCAGCGGUCGGGGGUUCGAAACCCUCCGCGCCCACCA
rnacentral:tRNA from 1 species